rnacentral:snRNA from 1 species
GUGCUCGCUUUAGCAGCACAUAUACUAAACUUGGAAUGAUAGAGAAGAUUAGCAUGGCCCCUGUGCAAGGAUGACACACAAAUUUGUGACACAUUCCAUAUUUAA